rnacentral:rRNA from 1 species
GACGAAGGUGACGACCGUUGCUCGGAAUCACUGGGCAUAAAGCGCGCGCAGGUGGUUUCUUAAGUCUGAUGUGAAAGCCCACGGCUCAACCGUGGAGGGUCAUUGGAAACUGGGGAACUUGAGUGCAGAAGAGGAAAGUGGAAUUCCAAGUGUAGCGGUGAAAUGCGUAGAGAUUUGGAGGAACACCAGUGGCGAAGGCGACUUUCUGGUCUGUAACUGACACUGAGGCGCGAAAGCGUGGGGAGCGAACAGG